rnacentral:lncRNA from 1 species
GUUGUUUUUUGUUUUCUACCAACCUUCGCUUCUAUGACGAUGAUAUAGUGUGAUGUCCUUACUGGGCUAGUGUAGCUCAUUCCUUAUUUAACCAUUUCAGAUCAGGAGGACCUGGUUCCCGAGCCCAAUCCACAAGAAUACGACAAGUAGAUGCUAGAUGCUUUAUAGUUUCCUUCAUUUUUCGUAUUUCUUUUAGAGAACUUAUUCCGUGAAAUUUUUUAGUACUUU